AUUGAGAUUCCUUCUCCAAAAAUGGAUACAGCCUCUCUGAAUACAUCCCUGCAGUCUGGAGGUCACAGUGUGGGCACAGAAUCUCCAAAUCUGUCGAUGAAAUCAUGGGGUUUCACAAAUGACAGUGAUUCUUGCCAGAGUCAACACUGGAACUUCUUCUUGGCCGCUAACUUCAUCAGUGUUGAGUCCUGUUCUUGGAUGACAGGAGUGAAACCUGAUGUGGUCUUCUGCUCUUGUAACCCAUUCACCUCAAGGUUUGGCAUGUGUGUUCUGAGAUGCUUUUCUGCUCACUACAGUUGUAAAGAGUGAUUAUUCAAGUUAUCAUAG
ensembl:lncRNA